AGAGAAAUCUCAUCGAACCCAAGAGGAGAAGUAAUUAGUCUCAUGAGGAACGAGGAAGCAGUGCUCUCUCUCUCUCUGUUUCUUUCUGUCUGGGAAAUCAUGGCCCUGCAGCCUCUGCUUCUAAGCCAAGGAGAAACAUGAAAACUCAAAUGUGCCCUGAACCAGUCUCAACCCUGAAGUUAAGGAAUGCAAAAGAGAAAUGCCCGAAAAACACCAGCAUUCCCAUCAGAGACUGCUGCCGCUGGUCAUGAAACCCCAUCAUCACUUAAAUUGCUCUAUUUUAAAGGUUUGUGAAAACUGCACCAAAUUGAUUUUUCCCAUAUCACUUCUAUCUGUUAUUUCUGUGGUCUCUCUUCUUCAUUGCUACAUUUCCCCGGAGCAAGGGAGCAAAU